GCUGGGAUAGCUCAGUCAGUAGAGCAGGAGACUCUUAAUCUCAGGGUUGUGGGUUCAAGCCCCAUGUUGGGCA
rnacentral:tRNA from 1 species